AUCCCUUUCUUCCUCAUAUCCUCAUUCUUCUUUUGUUCCUCUUCAAAAUCCAAAAUUCGUCACUUCCUUGGAGCAGCCGAGAACUCAAAUUUCGGAAGCUCAAAUGAGAAAACCUCCUUCAUAAAAGUUGUUCACUUAUGUGAUUCCUAUAACAUCCUCCAAUUUCAGCUCAAUCCGACUUGCAUAGGCUCUGAAAAGUUGGUGUUCUACUCUGCGUAUUUUCAAGGACGAACCCGCACAAGGUUAAGCUAGCUGGACAAGAGAGAAGAGGGGGCCAACAACGUUUUGAAUCAGAGAAGAAACGGCCACCAAGAAGAAGAGAGAAGAGAAGUCGAACUGACCCGCUGUCGCCUCCGCCUCGCUCCUCUCAGGUCAGCUUCUCUUCUCUCUCUGUCUUUCAUCUCGUCACUCAAUCUCUGGCUUUCAUCUCAUCUGCUAACUCUCUCUCUUUCUCUUCGCCGCCACAACAGAGCAAGUAAGAGAUGAAGAAGACGGGAAAAAGGUUAGACGGAGGAGGGAGGUCGCUCUCUGAACAAAAGCAGAGGGUUCUUCGUUGUCGUUUGGAGACCUUCAAGCACCUGCGCUCCUCCUCUCUGGACGAAAUCGUCCACCAACUUCGCAAUAAUUACCGAGACUACCACCGCAUCAAGCUCCAGUCUUUCACUAAGUUCGUCCAGCAAACCCUAGACUCACCUUCCUUUAAGCAAUCCAAAACCCUAAUCCAUGUCAGUGACUUAGAAGAAGAUGAAGAUGAAGAAGAAGAAGAAGAAAACGGCCAAAGCAAUUCCCAGAGAAGGCGGAAGCGUGCUACCAGUAAGGGCGAGGAUAAAUUGCAGCGAAUGGAGUCUGCUCACCUCAGAAGGUUUCGUCAAAGGAAUGGUGACCGUCCAUCUACAUCUUCUUCUUCUGAUGAUGCUGAUGAAGAUGGGUCUGUGUCGACGUCGGAGGACGCGAUAUACAGCGAGAAAGUGGACCCGGAGUUUGAUGUGAUGAAAUCGAGUCUCCGAGCGUCGUAUAUGGAAUCGAACAGCGCCUUGAAGCCCAAGGCAGCCGAGGAGCAGAAGGAGAAGAAUGUAGAAAUGGAGCUUCCUGCUCGCGAGCAAGUUGAGUUAAUGGGUGGAAAUGGAGGGCCAAGGCGGCCAAAGACAUUGCUAACACCUGAAGCCAAGGGCUCGGUUUCUACAGGGGUUGAGGUGAAGGGAAGCGAGGGUCCGAGGUUUAGUGACUUAGGUGGGAUGGAGAAGGUGAUAGAGGAGCUGAAGAUGGAGGUGAUUGUGCCGCUGCACCAUCCCGAGCUGCCUCGGUGGCUCGGAGUCAGGCCAAUGUCUGGGAUUCUGUUGUACGGCCCACCCGGGUGUGGCAAGACCAAAUUGGCUCAUGCCAUUGCCAAUGAAACCGGCAUUCCGUUUUAUAAAAUUUCUGCUACAGAAGUCGUCUCUGGUGUCUCAGGUGCAUCUGAAGAAAAUAUAAGAGAGCUUUUUUCUAAAGCUUAUAGAACUGCCCCUUCAAUUGUAUUUAUUGAUGAAAUUGAUGCAAUUGCUUCGAAAAGAGAAAGUUUGCAACGAGAAAUGGAGAGGCGAAUCGUGACACAACUAAUCACUUGCAUGGAUGAAUCUCAUAGGCUUGUACAACGGGCUGAUGCAAAUUCCAACUCCGAGAGUUUUGAUAACAAGUCUGGCUAUGUUCUUGUUAUUGGAGCUACCAAUAGGCCUGAUGCUGUUGACCAUGCUCUGAGGAGGCCUGGGAGAUUUGACCGUGAGAUUGUUUUAGGUGUUCCAGAUGAAAAUGCCAGGGUUCAGAUUCUUUCUGUGCUUACACGCAAUCUAAGACUUGAAGGUUCUUUUGAUCUUCUUAAAAUAGCCAGGUCUACACCAGGGUUUGUUGGGGCUGAUUUGGCAGCCCUGGCCGACAGGGCUGGUAACAUUGCCAUGAAAAGGAUUAUACACAAGAGAAAGACUGAUAUGUCUAUAGAUUCUAUGCAUGAGGAGUGCAAUGAAGAGUGGUGGAGGCAACCAUGGUCGCCUGAAGAAAUGGGAAGGCUUACUAUCACUAUGGCUGAUUUUGAGGAAGCAGUUCAAGUGGUUCAGCCUUCAUCAAAAAGAGAAGGAUUCUCUGCAAUUCCUAAUGUAAAAUGGGAAGAUGUUGGUGGGUUAGAUCUUUUAAGGCAGGAAUUUGAUCGUUAUAUAGUUAGGCGUGUUAAAUAUCCUGAGAACUAUGAGGAAUUUGGAGUAGAUUUAGAGACAGGAUUUUUGCUCUAUGGGCCUCCAGGAUGUGGUAAAACACUGAUAGCGAAGGCUGUCGCUAAUGAAGCAGGAGCCAAUUUCAUUCACAUUAAGGGCCCUGAACUUCUGAACAAAUAUGUUGGAGAAAGUGAGUUGGCAGUUAGGACAUUGUUUAGUCGUGCAAGGACAUGCUCACCAUGCAUACUUUUCUUUGAUGAGGUGGAUGCCUUAACAACAAAGCGGGGGAAAGAAGGAGGAUGGGUUGUUGAACGGCUAUUGAACCAGUUGCUUAUAGAGUUAGAUGGUGCAGAGCAGCGGCGGGGUGUGUUUGUUAUUGGUGCCACUAAUAGACCCGAUGUCAUGGACCGUGCUGUAUUGCGGCCCGGUAGGUUUGGUAAACUUAUUUAUGUCUCCCCGCCCACAAAAGACGAGCGUGGUUUGAUUUUAAAAGCUCUUGCGAGGAAGAAGCCUAUAGAUGCCAGCGUAGAUCUCAGUGAGAUUGGACAAAGGGAAACUUGUGAAAAUUUUAGUGGAGCUGAUCUUGCUGCACUGAUGAAUGAAGCGGCUAUGGCCGCUCUUGAAGAAAAACUGACAUCCACACCUGAGAGGAAUUCAGAUGCAUCUCCAUGGACUAUCAAAGACACUCACUUUGAGCAAGCACUGGCUAAAAUUGCACCAUCUGUAACAGACAAGCAAAUGCAAUACUACCAGAAAUUUGGAGAGAGCCUCAAAGCACCAAGAAACAAAGCCUAAGCCAGAAAUGUCCCAUUGAAGAGCUAUAAACAACCCUGUACUCAAAGAAAUCCUGGUAAGCAGCAACAUCUCCAAAAGCUGCUUCUGUCUUUGUAUAUUGCAUUGUCACUCCCGUGCUAGAAGAAACUGUUUACAGGUGAUUUUUACUAUGGUCAAUUUCGUCCACUAUGAAAUGGAAGUCAGCAGUUUUGAUAAGCUCAGCUAUUUUCAGUGCAGCUCACCUGUCUGAUCAAUGUUAUUAACUCAGACGAUGGCUUUGAGUCUCACAAUAUGCAAUCACAUAGUUGAACCUGUCAGUUUCAACACCAGAAACAGACAAAGACUCUUCUCCACAAGUGCAUUUUCUGAUAAAUGAAAGAGUAGGGCUUACAUAAAAAAUUACUGAAUAAACGUGAUUUGCAUAUUUUCCUUCUUUUUGAUUCCUUCUUUGGUUAUCCUUGAAAGCCAAGUCUUGAAGUUGGUUUUGCCAUCCAAUUAGAGAUUGAGGCCAUAACAUAGGAUUGCCAUGAUUCUUCAGAUCAACUGAAGAUCAUCUCGAGUGAUUUCGUAGCAUCUAGGAUUCAAUUUGCCCAAGAUUUUAGCUUCCCUUCUCUUUUUAUUGUUAUCUUCAAAAUUUCUAUGGAAUUUAGUAUUCACCUCUCCAAAUCUACUUUCACAGUUUUGUUCACCAUAGAAUGUCAUAUAUGUUAAAAUUUCUAGCAGAGUGAAAAUACUGUGUUUUUCCCGUAGCCGUGCACUUGCAGGCCAGCUAAACUUGAAUGUUAAUAGAUGACUAGACCGCUGGUAACAGUGCAUAGUCAUAUAUGCUCGGCCCACCUUCAUUCCUUAUCCUAUCCAAUAAAACUUCCACAAUUUGGACAUGCCCUGUUCAUUCUAGAAUUAUGCAUGAAAAUAGGAGUACCCAUAAUGUAGAACAGGCAGACGUUUAGCUGAGAAUGUAUUUUUUGUGGUCGAAAGCCGAGAAAGUUAGGAGAGAAUGGAUAGAAAGAAGAAGAUUUGGGUGAGGUGAUUAAGGAAGCUUAAGUUUUAUUCAUCGGUCAUCAAGUGUGAAGAUAUUUUCAAAUGCCUCGCGUGAUCGAGGCACCAAUAUUUUCGAGCAGGAAUUUUUUGUGUGAUAAUAAAUGGCAAAAUGUAACAGAUUGUUGAUUGAUUUUUUUCAAUGGCGGCUCAAGCACAUGGUUCCCAUCGUUCAAGCGAUACUUUGAAUGAACCCAACACAAGUCCAACACUUGGGAAUCCACUUAUGGAUAUAUCUUUGAUUGUAUCUAUUUGCUCAUAUACUGCUAAUGGAGCAGUGAGACAUUCUUUAUCUUGGUUUGAGGAGCGUCAUGAUAUUAUUUGUGAUAUUCUUUUUGAAGAUUGUGAUUUGUAGUGGCUUAUGAGACUUUGGCAUGUAGAGGAGGGGUUGAUCUAUUAGGGGUUUUGGUUCCUUCUAACCGCUUUUAGCUUAGAGCAUUGGCAGCAAAGGGCUCAAGGGGAGGGUUGGGGGGGACCCAAAAACAGGUUUCCAGCAACAACAAGCUGCCAGGGCAAACAGUGGGGCCCACAAACCUGGGCAAGCCCGAGGGGGAGGUUGGCCCGAGCUCCAGCCCGUGGGCUGGGAUGACGUCAGCGCUGCUGUUUAAUUUUUUUAAAAGCUGGUGCGUGCAAUACACGCGCCCGGUUUAAAAAAAAUUUGACGCACGCUACAGUACCCCUCCCAACGGCAAUAUUACACGUGUCGCAUGCUGGGCCAUCCGAUCUGCAUUUUAAACUUAUCCAACUACAGCCAUUUUUUCGCGAAUAAAAAAAUCGAAAAAGUAACCUCCAACGGCUCUAUGCCACGUGGAAGCUCCUGGGCUCUUCGAUUGGUUUUUUCCAGCAAUCCAACGUGAAACCGGUGGAGGAGCAUGGAGCAUGACGGAAGAUAUUAGCUUGUGUGAGGCUUGGCUCCAAGUUAGUCAUUGUCCCGUAACGGGUAAUGAGAUCAAAUUCUGUCAUAUGUGGAAAAAAAUUUAUCAGGAAUUUUGUGAAAGGGUAAUUGGUUCGACCCGUACGGAUCAAGCAUUAUCUAGUAGGUGGAAAAUUCUUAAUAAAGAGUUGGGAAAGUGGAGAGAUGCCUUGACAAAAGCGAUGAACAACCAUAGAAGCGGGCAAAACC